rnacentral:miRNA from 14 species
AGACUGGUUAAUGAUAACAAUGCAUUGUAAAACCUUCAGCAGGAAAGAAGGUUUUGUGGACCACUUUUUUUGUGUGUGUGGCAGUUUUAAGUUAUUCGUUUUCAGAAUCAGU